UACGUAGGGGGCAAGCGUUGUCCGGAAUCAUUGGGCGUAAAGCGCGCGUAGGCGGCCCGGUAAGUCCGCUGUAAAAGUCCAGGGCUCAACCCUGGGAUGCCGGUGGAAACUGUCGGGCUAGAGUCCGGAAGAGGCGAGUGGAAUUCCUGGUGUAGCGGUGAAAUGCGCAGAUAUCAGGAGGAACACCAAUGGCGAAGGCAGCUCGCUGGGACGGUACUGACGCUGAGGCGCGAAAGCGUGGGGAGCAAACAGG
rnacentral:rRNA from 1 species